GAUGAAGAACGUAGCGAAAUGCGAUAAGUAAUGUGAAUUGCAGAAUUCAGUGAAUCAUCGAAUCUUUGAACGCACAUUGCGCCCGCCAGUAUUCUGGCGGGCAUGCCUGUUCGAGCGUCAUUACAACCCUCAGGCCCCCGGGCCUGGCGUUGGGGAUCGGCGGAAGCCCCCUGCGGGCACAACGCCGUCCCCCAAAUACAGUGGCGGUCCCGCCGCAGCUUCCAUUGCGUAGUAGCUAACACCUCGCAACUGGAGAGCGGCGCGGCCACGCCGUAAAACACCCAACUUCGGAAUGUUGACCUCGAAUCAGGUAGGAAUACCCGCUGAACUUAAGCAUAUCAAUAAGCGGAGGA
rnacentral:misc_RNA from 1 species